rnacentral:rRNA from 1 species
UACAGAGGUCUCAAGCGUUGUUCGGAUUCAUUGGGCGUAAAGGGUGCGUAGGCGGCGCGGUAAGUCGGGUGUGAAAUCUCGGAGCUUAACUCCGAAACUGCAUUCGAUACUGCCGUGCUUGAGGACUGGAGAGGAGACUGGAAUUUACGGUGUAGCGGUGAAAUGCGUAGAUAUCGUAAGGAAGACCAGUGGCGAAGGCGGGUCUCUGGACAGAUUCCUGACGCUGAGGCACGAAGGCCAGGGGAGCAAACGGG